CCCUCGGGCCCGUCUACCAACGAGAGGCACCGCUUGAGGCCAGAGCGGCCUCCCAUCCCUGGAGGUCCACGUUGGUCUCCGCGCCGGGGCUGGGGCCCAGGGACGGCUCCUGUGCGUUGGGGGCGCCACUUUAUCCGUGAGUUCCAGACCUGUAUAUCCAACUACCUACCAGAUAUGUCUGGGAUGUUUCACACAUUCCCAAGUCUUUGUAAGGGACCAGCGAAACGUUGGAAGAAGAGACCACAAGAGACUGACUUCAUGCAAAACACACAAGGGGAUUUUUUAUUUAGGAGCCAAUUCAGCGCGCUAAGACUCUAGGCCCACUCAAGAAGCAAGAGCAGCCCAGAGCCCAGAGCAGGGGUUGAACAAUGCUUAAGUACACCUUUUAGGGAGGGGCGGGGCGGCUUUGCAUACAUCACAGUCUCCUUUAACAAAUCACCUUACACCAUGGGAAAAUCAAACAAUAAUUCUUAGACUUGAUUAGUACAUUUAUUGGUGGGAACAGGGUUGGCUGGAGUGAUAGGUCUUUCCUGAGGAGGGGGUUUACAUUUAAACUGAUUGGUUCGGACCUUGAAUAUCUACGUGAGGAAUUGCACAGGACUCCAGGCCAUAAUUCAACUAAAUGGCCAGUGGGGCCUUGUCCUAACUGCCUCAGGAAUUUAACCCAUGUGUUGCAGUUUAGAAACUUUACCCUUUCAGCUUAACAUGUUUAUUGAACUUAUUCUCUCCCCACCCUUCAACAACAGAAAGAACAAAUGUUGUAUUCAAGAUUCUCUUUCCUGAAUUCCCUAUAUAUAUUGUUGAAUGGAAUCAACUACUUGGCCACCAAAUGGGAAACAUAGAGGAAAUCAUGAAUUCCUCAUUUUUUUCUCAUUCUUGAUUUCAAAUUUACUACCAAGCCUUGUUGAUUUUCUAUCAAAUAUCGUCCAAAUCUAUAUAUCCUCUUUCCAUUCCAAUCCAGACUCUUGUCAUUUCUUUUUUUCACUCAGAGAAGACAACAGUAGUCCCCUAAUUGUUCCUUGAUCUCAUCUCUCUCUGGUCUUGGCUGUUCUACAAGUGACCUAAAAAGGGAAACACUGAUCAAAUUUCACUGGUAUGAAACCUAUCAAUGGUUUUCCACUCCUGUGAGUUUGAUCUCUGGCCUAUGUGAGGAUGGCCUAAGGUCUGAGCCUAAGCAACUCCAUUUUAAAAACUCCAGUUUGAAAACUGCAGUCUCACCAUGCAUGCCUAAUAGAGAGACCACCAGUAUGGCCCUCAGGCACAAACAAGUCACUUCUCCCCACCCUGAUAAACUCAGAUUGAAGCCUCUAGCAGGCUGUUCACGCCUGCCCAGGGAAAAGCACCCCAAAAUAGAAAAA